rnacentral:rRNA from 1 species
CCUACGGGGGGCAGCAGUGGGGAAUAUUGGACAAUGGGCGAAAGCCUGAUCCAGCCAUGCCGCGUGUGUGAAGAAGGCCUUCGGGUUGUAAAGCACUUUCAGUGGGGAAGAAAGCCUUGGGGCUAAUACCCUCGAGGAAGGACAUCACCCACAGAAGAAGCACCGGCUAACUCCGUGCCAGCAGCCGCGGUAAUACGGAGGGUGCGAGCGUUAAUCGGAAUUACUGGGCGUAAAGCGCGCGUAGGCGGUCUGAUAAGCCGGUUGUGAAAGCCCCGGGCUCAACCUGGGAACGGCAUCCGGAACUGUCAGGCUAGAGUGCAGGAGAGGAAGGUAGAAUUCCCGGUGUAGCGGUGAAAUGCGUAGAGAUCGGGAGGAAUACCAGUGGCGAAGGCGGCCUUCUGGACUGACACUGACGCUGGGGUGCGAAAGCGUGGGUAGCAAACAGGAUUAGAUACCCUUGUAGUC